GGAUGCGGUCAUACCAGAACUAACGUACCAGAUCCCAUCAGAUCUUCGAAGUUAAGUGUGUUUGGGCGUGAGUAGUACUAGGAUGGGUGAUCCCCUGGGAAGUCCUCGUGUUGCAUCCC